AACGAACGCUGGCGGCAUGCCUAACACAUGCAAGUCGAACGAGACCUUCGGGUCUAGUGGCGCACGGGUGCCUAACGCGUGGGAACCUGCCCUUAGGUUCGGAAUAACUCCCCGAAAGGGGUGCUAAUACCGGAUAAUGUCUUCGGACCAAAGAUUUAUCGCCUUUGGAUGGGCCCGCGUUGGAUUAGCUAGUUGGUAGGGUAAAAGCCUACCAAGGCGACGAUCCAUAGCUGGUCUGAGAGGAUGAUCAGCCACACUGGGACUGAGACACGGCCCAGACUCCUACGGGAAGCAGCAGUGGGGAAUAUUGGACAAUGGGCGAAAGCCUGAUCCAGCAAUGCCGCGUGAGUGAUGAAGGCCUUAGGGUUGUAAAGCUCUUUUACCCGGGAUGAUAAUGACAGUACCGGGAGAAUAAGCUCCGGCUAACUCCGUG
rnacentral:rRNA from 1 species